UACGGAGGGUGCGAGCGUUGUCCGGAAUCAUUGGGCGUAAAGGGCGCGUAGGUGGCAGGACAAGCGUGCGGUGAAAGCUCGGGGCUCAACCCCGCGUCGGCCGUGCGAACUGUUUUGCUUGAGCACUGUAGAGGCAGGCGGAAUUCCGGGUGUAGCGGUGGAAUGCGUAGAGAUCCGGAAGAACACCGGUGGCGAAGGCGGCCUGCUGGGCAGUGGCUGACACUGAGGCGCGACAGCGUGGGGAGCAAACAGG
rnacentral:rRNA from 1 species